ensembl:lncRNA
GUAAGUACAGCUCUAUUGUUGGACACGAGAGAUUGGGGUCAGUGGUUCUACAGGAAAUGGAGUCCCAACCAAUUCAGGCUGGAAUCUGGGGUUUGCAGAGAGAUGAUGAUGUUCCAGAAGAUGACAUGACCAUAUUUAAAUAAAUGUAGAUUUUUGUACAUAUAUAUAUAUAUAUAUAUAUACACACACAUAUACCAUGUUUUGCUUAUCCAUUCAACUAUUGAUGAGCAUAGAGGCCACUUCCAAGAUUUAGCUUUUGCGAAUUGUACUGCUAAAAACAUAGAAAUGCAUGUAUUGUUGUAAUAGGAUGACUUUAACUCUUUCAGGAAGCUACACAGAGUAGGAACACCUGGGUCAAAUGGAAUUUCAAUUUUUAGUUUUUAAAAGAAUCUCCAUACUGAUUUCCAUACUGGCUGUACUUAUUUAUAUGAAAUCUUAUGUGCAGAGAAUACAUAGGUGUAAGGAGCAUUUGUCCUUACACACUCCUCCAAGGUGGCUAUGGUAGAUUCUGAAAGCCAAUUACUUAGAGGAGACAGAAUGGGUGUAGAGCACUGGAGAAGAAAGCUCUUUACGAAUUAAUUGGCUCACUCCUGUCUGUGAUCAUAGAGAAAGGUCAGGAAGAAGUGGACAGUCUCUGCUGUCAGCCUGGAGUUUUCCACAUAUGGAACCAUGCUUCUCUUCCAGCCCAUCAUCCCUUUCAAGGCCGAGAACAGGGCUGCUCACUUCACAGAUUUGGUUGAUUGACAGGGGGAGAUUCAUAGAAAGCUUUGGAGAGUAUGAAAGGAGCAUGGGGAGGGAAGGUCAUUGGGCUAGCAAAAGUUGCAGAAAUUAAAUAAAAUUUAAUAGACAUUAAUGCAAAACCUACAUUUAAAAAAAUCAAUUGCACAAAACAGGAUAGAGGAGAGAGAGCUCAACAGAAGUUCUUAUAAAAAGACUCAGAGGUUUCCCUUGGCUACAGGCUAGCGAUGAGUCAAUAGUAUGUGUGGCAGCCAAAAAGCUAAUGCAGAGUCAAACUGCACUGAGAUAUGCAGUUUACAGGAUACAGGAGGGGAGCUCACCACUCCUGCCCCAGACAGGACAUAUUUAGAAUGGAGGGGCUCAGCUCUGGGUACCACGUGUGAAAAGAGCCAUUAACAAAUUAGAUCUCCUAAAAGCCAGUGGUCAAGAUGAUGACAACUGAGAGAGCAUGCCACUCCUGUAUGGGGGUGCUGGACAGAGGGGAAGUGUGUGGGGAAAAAGUGGAAAAUAUUUAGCUCUCUUUAAAUAACGGAAUCGUUUUGCUGUGAAAGAAGCAUUGAACAUGUGUGUGUGCAGCUUCAGAGCUAGAAACCCUGGAUGGGAAGAAAUAACAGGGAGACUGGUUUUGUCUGAAUGUUAGGACAAGCUUACCACAAUAGGAUCUGUGCCACAGGGGUGGGCUGUCACAUUCUUGUUAAUGGAAGAAAGAGAGGAAGCAAACAAGAAGGGAGGGAGGGAGGAAGAUAUAAUAUAUAUAUAUAUAUAUAUAUAUAUAUGAGCAUGCCAUGUGUUCUACACUGAGCUAUGCUCUUGUUUUAAAGUGAGGAGCAUGACAGAUGUGGGCUUGCCUGUGUGGAGUUUAGAGACCAACAUGGAAGGCAAAGAUUAAAUACAUAAUCACACAGAUAAAUUGCAAAUGUUGCUAUGAGAGAAAAGAACUGGUAUAAAAGGGAAUAAGAAAAGAGGGUAGGAAUAAUUUGAGUUACAAGUUUUCAGUUACAUAAAGGAUUUGAGCUGAGGCAGGAGGGUAACGAAUUCUCCGAACAUAGUAGAAGAUACCCUGUGUUUUGGGACAGAGCUGGAACCAGCCCAGUAGCUUCCUCUCCGGUGGCUGUGUGUCAGUCACCUGGAGAAAGAUUUUCAGUAGUCUUUGAUCCACCUCAAGAUAUUCUGAAUCAAAAUAUUUGGUACCAGAGACUCUGAAACCCUAUGAUAACAUGUUAAACGAAAGAGCUGGAUGAAAAUGCACAUUCCUUGAUCCCAGUAUCUAGGUCUCACUUAUGAUUUUAAUCUCUUUGUUUGCAUCCUGGAAUUAAAUAUCUCUAAUUCAAAGCUUGAAUACUUUUGUCUCUUUAGAAUCUGGUUUACAGAACAAUGAAGAAAUUUCUAGCCAGAUAUGUACCUGACCUGAAUUUUUGCAAGAGGUGGAUACCAUUCCCCUUGCCAAACACUUCGGAAAAAGUGUAGCUGGUGCCCGAGGUCCCUCUAGUGGUUAGAAGUUGUAACUUCAGCUCCCACUUCUCUUCCAGGCUCAGGUUUGGACAGUGAAUUUGCUGAUGGGGGCUCUAGGAGAGAUGAAGAGGCCCUGUAAAAAGAAAGCAGAUACAUCUAAAUAUAUGUUUUAGAAAGUUCUUCUCUAGAAUUAAUGUUAAAAGUAGAGGUGGCAGAUCUCAGGAAUUGUUUUACAACUCUCCCUGCCUCUUUUUGCUAUGUCUGGGAUGAUCUAAAUUUAAAAGGGGUUGAGGGAUAUAUAACUAACAAAUCAGAUAGAUCACUCCCCAGGAUAUCAGGACAUUAAUUAGGGAGUCAUUUUUCAUUCUCUGGGAAACACAUAACAUCUCAGUCUUGGGUGGCUGGAUAGAGGUAUGGGUUGAGUUGUAAGACUGGGUCAUACCUUCUGUGCUAUGUCACUCACUACUUUCCGAGUUUUAAUUUUCUCCCCUGAGAAAAAAAUCAGGUAAUGACACUUGCCCUACCUAACUCACAGGUUUGAUGUAAAAAUAAAAUGGGCAAGCAGAUGUGAAAGCUGUAAAAUGUGUUGCACCUGAGAAGAAAUAUUCUCCAAUUAGUAGUAAAGAAGACUCUGCCUUGCAGGCAACUGGGGAAAUGCCCACUCCCCUUUUGGGCCCCUCCACUGAAAUAUGAAGACUGAGGCCCAAGGUGAGCAAGUUUUCCAUUUGAUUGUGAUACUCAGAGUAGUAUGACAAUGUCAUCAUCGUCAUGAUCUGGACCAGGUUGGGAAGGCCGGCACUGGGGUGAGGAAGACAGCAGGAUCAGACAGCCCACCUUCUCCACAUCAGAGCAAACUGGAUCAAAGUUAUACAUGUUUACUCAUCAUGAGCCUGCCUAGGUGCCCUACCCACCUCCCAGCUAAGAGAGGAAGAUGUCCAGGGGAACAAAGUUUGGUUCUCCAGCAGCCCCCUCCUCCCAAAAGGAGAACAGAAAAGAAUUCAUCAUUUAGAGCCCACUUCCUUCUGGCCUCACCACCAGGGGCCACAUCCAGAUGGAGAAAAUAGUUAAGAGGGUCUCACAUUUACAUACAUUUGCAUAUGUUUGCAUAUCCACACAAGAACAUGUAGUUCAUUCUCAGGCAAUUUUCAAGUAAAUGUGAUUAUUGCCAUCUUCGGGUUGUCAUGGAUAGAUUUUGCUCUUCUCACUUUGCUUCUCACCCGCCCACAGUUCCUGAGCCCUGAUUCUGGCCCAGUGAGUGUAUGUGUGUCUGCUCCUGCAAACACAGUGGGAAGGGCGCUCCUAAGCGAACUCAGGGACAUGGAGCCCCAGCAGAGAGGUGGCAGGGACAGUCCACAGGCAGCAUGGCUUCGCAGCCAUGCUUGGACUGUAAUGGCUAUUGGGUCACAUCUGUUCCGUUUGUGCCAAGGUGGCAAAUGCAUAGAUUGAACAUGCUUGGCAAGUUACAGGCUUGUACUCUGUGAUGGUGUCGGGGCAACACCAAAAACCGUCUGGUGCAGGAGGCAGUGGGCAGAUGAUGAGCACUACAUAAACUGUGCAGCCGAACCUCAACCUCUGAGUUCCUUUAGAAUCUUUCCCUCAUUACUGUAUUACCCCACAUCUUCUCACCUUUUCUUGUAGAAUCAGCUUUUCCUACUAUUUGGCUCACAGUGGGUCCUUCCCAAUAGGCUUUUAAUGGUGCAGGGGCUCAAAAGGACCCAGAGGGGUGCCUAUUUGGUCUUUGAGGCUGUCAGUAUGCAGGCACCAUGAGUUACUAGGAAAACACAGGAAAUAAAAGGACAAACCAGUUCCUUGCUGUUCUCCUUGGCACUGAGAAAAGAGUCUGAGAAGCAAUAGACCAUCAGGACUUUUCUUUGGGGGAAAAAUGCUUUUUGCUUAUGAUCUCUGUGUGUUUGAAUAUUCAGCAUACGAGUUGAAGGAGAGUACUACUUUAUAAACUUCAUAGAUUCCACUUUCUCUGGUGUGAAUUUGUGAACCAACUCAUCAACAGCUAUCUCCUGUGUGCCACAGGAAGCUCUGAGCUGGAACAUAGUAGGGCG